GAUGAACGCUGGCGGCGUGCCUAAUACAUGCAAGUCGAGCGAACAGACGAGGAGCUUGCUCCUCUGACGUUAGCGGCGGACGGGUGAGUAACACGUGGAUAACCUACCUAUAAGACUGGGAUAACUUCGGGAAACCGGAGCUAAUACCGGAUAAUAUAUUGAACCGCAUGGUUCAAUAGUGAAAGACGGUUUUGCUGUCACUUAUAGAUGGAUCCGCGCGGCAUUAGCUAGUUGGUAAGGUAACGGCUUACCAAGGCGACGAUGCGUAGCCGAACUGAGAGGGUGAUCGGCCACACUGGAACUGAGACACGGUCCAGACUCCUACGGGAGGCAGCAGUAGGGAAUCUUCCGCAAAGGGCGAAAGCCUGACGGAGCAACGCCGCGUGAGUGAUGAAGGUCUUCGGAUCGUAAAACUCUGUUAUUAGGGAAGAACAAAUGUGUAAGUAACUAUGCACGUCUUGACGGUACCUAAUCAGAAAGCCACGGCUAACUACGUG
rnacentral:rRNA from 1 species